AUUGAACGCUGGCGGCAGGCCUAACACCUGCACGUCGAACGAGUGGCGGACGGGUGAGUAAUGUCUGGGAAACUGCCUGAUGGAGGGGGAUAACUACUGGAAACGGUAGCUAAUACCGCAUACCAUCAGAUGUGCCCAGAUGGGAUUAGCUAGUUGGUGGGGUAACGGCUAACCAGGGCGACGAUCCCUAGCUGGUCUGAGAGGAUGACCAGCCACACUGGAACUGAUACACGGUCCAGACUCCUACGGGAGGCAGAAGUGGGGAAUAUUGCACAAUGGGCGAAAUCCUGAUGCAGCCAUGCCGCGUGUAUGAAGAAGGCCUGCGGGUUGGAAAGUACUUUCAGCGGGGAGACGUUACCCGCAGAAGAAGCACCGGCUAACUCCGUGCCAGCAGCCGCGGUAAUAC
rnacentral:rRNA from 1 species